UCUCCGUUGGUGAACCAGCGGAGGGAUCAUUACUGAGUUACCGCUCUACAACCCCUUGUGAACAUACCUAACUGUUGCUUCGGCGGGCAGAGGUCCCUCGCGGAUCUCUCCCGGCAACGCCCUCACGGGCGGAGCGCCCGCCGGAGGAUACCAAACUCUAUUUUAACGACGUUUCUUCUGAGAGGCACAAGCAAAUAAUUAAAACUUUUAACAACGGAUCUCUUGGUUCUG
rnacentral:misc_RNA from 1 species